rnacentral:rRNA from 1 species
GACGAACGCUGGCGGCGUGCUUAACACAUGCAAGUCGAACGGAAAGGCCCUGCUUGCAGGGUACUCGAGUGGCGAACGGGUGAGUAACACGUGGGUGAUCUGCCCUGCACUUCGGGAUAAGCCUGGGAAACUGGGUCUAAUACCGGAUAGGAGCCAUUUUGAGUGUGAUGGUUGGAAAGUUUUUUCGGUGUAGGAUGAGCUCGCGGCCUAUCAGCUUGUUGGUGGGGUAAUGGCCUACCAAGGCGGCGACGGGUAGCCGGCCUGAGAGGGUGGACGGCCACAUUGGGACUGAGAUACGGCCCAGACUCCUACGGGAGGCAGCAGUGGGGAAUAUUGCACAAUGGGCGCAAGCCUGAUGCAGCGACGCCGCGUGGGGGAUGACGGCCUUCGGGUUGUAAACUCCUUUCGCUAGGGACGAAGCUUUUUGUGACGGUACCUAGAUAAGAAGCACCGGCUAACUACGUG